AUUGAACGCUGGCGGCAUGCCUUACACAUGCAAGUCGAACGGCAGCACGGGAGCAAUCCUGGUGGCGAGUGGCGAACGGGUGAGUAAUAUAUCGGAACGUGCCCAGUGAUGGGGGAGUAGCCCGGCGAAAGCCGGAUUAAUACCGCAUACGACCUACGGGUGAAAGCAGGGGAGUCGCAAGACCUUGCGUCAUUGGAGCGGCCGAUAUCAGAUUAGCUUG
rnacentral:rRNA from 1 species